CAGAUGAAUACUCUUUAAGAAUUUUUCAUCAAUAUGUUGUAUUUUUAAAUAAUUUUCUUAAAAACAGUUAUUUUUUGAAAGUUUUCAUUUUUAGAGAAAUAUUAUAGAUUUGGGUUUGUGAUUUAGAAAUUAGGAGAACAAAAAUAUUUGUGGAUAGAUGAGUAUUCUUUCGGAGUUUUUCAUCAAUAGUUUGUAUUUUUAAAUAAUUUUCUUAAAAACCUCUAUUUUUGGAAUGUUUUCAUUUUACAGAUAAAUAUUGUAGAUUUGGGUUUGUAAUUUAGAAAUUAGGAUAACUAGACUAUUUGUGGACAGAUGAAUACUCUUUAAGAAAUUUUCAUCAAUAUUUUGUAUUUUUAAAUAAUUUUCUUAAAAACUGUUAUUUUUGGAAAGUUUUCAUUUUUUUCAAAAAAUAUUAUAGUUAUUGGUUUGUGAUUUAUUAAUUAGGAUAACAAGAAUAUCUGUGGAUAAAUGAGUAUUCUUUCGGUGUUUUUCAUCAAUAGGUUGUAUUUUUAAAUAAUUUUCUUAAAAACUGCUAUUUCUGGAAAGUUUUCGUUUUAUACAUAAAUAUUUUAGAUUUGGGUU
rnacentral:lncRNA from 1 species